CGGAUCCGAUGUGACUGGCGACGGAAGUGGGUAACCACGGUGGAGCAUCGGAACAUACGGCCGGUCGCCUGGGCAAAGAGC
rfam:Paenibacillus darwinianus strain Br genomic scaffold scaffold18, whole genome shotgun sequence.